GUACAUGCUUACAACAUAGCAUUAAUGCAUCGAAUCCCAUUAGAAAUCUACGGUUAAGUGCGCUCGGGAUAGAGUAGUAUUGGGAUGGGUGACCUUCAAGGAAGUCCUAGUAUUUUAUAUG
rfam:Picea glauca, whole genome shotgun sequence.